GGAUUGCUGUUCCCUCAGCGCAGGCGCAAGGGCGGCGCUUCCCUCAGCGCAGGCGCGGGGCGGCGGCGGAAUGUCGGUGGUGUUCGUGCCGGAGCGGCUGCGCGGCAAGGCGGAGGUGAACCAGGAGACGCUGCAGAGGCUGCUGGAGGAGAACGACCAGCUGAUCCGCUGCAUCGUGGAGUACCAGAGCAAGGGCCGCGCCACCGACUGCGUGCAGUACCAGCAUAUCCUGCACAGAAACCUCAUUUAUUUAGCCACAAUUGCAGAUGCAACGCCACCCAGCGCGCAGAAGACUACAGAGUGACUGCACGUACCCGGCUGCAGGCUGCCCUGCUUUACAGAGAAAGGCUUUAGUUUACAUUGCCACUGUGGGAGGGAGAAAGUGUAGUCGCACAAGGCAGAAGCUUUAAAAUACAAAAUGUACAAUUCCAGUUCAGAAGCAUUAGCUAUUCACAGAAGCACUGCAAUAAGGGUAAGUUAACUAAGCACCAAACCCUUGCACUUGGCAGUGUAAGUGAAGUUUAAUGGCAAGACUCAUUUGCCAAGUGCAACAACUCUUAAAAUUACCAGUGUUCAGAACAAUCGGAAGCGAAGGACAUAGUAGCACCUACGUGGUCAAAAUGCAGACAGACUUGGUUUCUGCAAUUUACUUCUGUACAUCUAGAAACCUGCCAGCAUUUGUAAUUAUGAAUCAGCUGCACAAACUAUAGCAAUAAUUUUGGCACUUGUUAGGAGGAGUUCAAAAUAAAAUGUUUUCAUUAACUUCCAUUUUGGUCUUAGUGUGAAUAACCAGUAACUACAACCAAAUUUAGGAUUUAAUAUUAGAUCUAAAUGACAAGACUGAGGAAACUCAAAACCAUUCAUCAAGUUAAGUAACCACUAACAUUUUCAGCAGAGGGUUUUCAAAACUGUAGUAGUACAGACCAUCAACAAUUUACAGACAAGCCACACUGAUUGUGCAAAGCACAUUACUGUAAAAAGUCUAUGUACAGCAAACAAAUCUUUGUAAACAUGUAAGUAUGAACUUUCAGAAAACGUGGUGACAAUAUCAUAAAUACAGGCAACAUUGGCAUCCUCAAACAGCACAAAAAGUAACAAUCUGGGCCAGCAAAUACAGCCCAUCACCAUACAAACAAAAAAGGUGGAUGGGUUUUAAAUACCCAAAUGUUUAAUAGUUUUAGUGUUGUGUAUACUUCUUAUUUAUAUAUAUGUAUUAAUUUUUUGGUAUCUUUAGAUAUAGAUGUACUUAGUUUGUAGAAACAAAAACAACAAAUGUGCUUUCUCUUCAUUGAAAAAUUAUGUAGUUAGAACUAAUAACCCAUUUUACUAGUAGUUAACAUAUUAGAAUGAUAUGACUUAAGAAAAAUACAAAAAUAAGAUUAAUACUGUCAAAACUCUUAUACCAGAAAAUAUUGUGGUUUUUUAGUCUCUUUCAAAGAUGAGAUAUGAAAAUUUAAAUAAGCUCUAACUAUAUAAAGAAUCUUCUGUAAUCUCAGUUAAUAUACAGUGGGAUAGCUAUAUAUAUAUUUACCAUUGUUCUUCACUUUUUAAGCACCAGUCACUCCCAGACCCACUUUGGUUGGAAGGUUAUUCCCAAUUCCACAGGUUCACUUAAUGGCACAUAUUGACUGCAGAUAAUUACUUUAUCCUUUAAAAAAAAUAACGUUCUUAUAGCUAACUGCUACCCCACCUGACGCUUCUGAUAUCUUCUGAGCCAGCUCACAACUUUUUUUUUUUUUUUUUUUAAUCAACUAGCAUCUGAAAUAAGACUUUAAAAUAUAUGCAAGUAGUCUUUCAGGCUGUACUUUCACACACUUAAGGAAGGAGUACUGUGUGGAUAAUGCCUUUGGCCAAAUGAAGCACUAACAAAUGUAUUUAUCUGAAAACCAGUAUCAUCCACACAGGUGCCAUCUACUGUAAGCAGCUCAGUUAACAUUUGUGACACAAAUCUGAGUGGUUCUGCUGAUCUAUACUUUGAGGAAGGAAACUACCACAACACUCAAUUUCACAACUGCUUCUGCAACAGUUCUACAAUGAACUCGCUUGUGUGGCACAUGAAAAGCUGCACUUACACAUCAUUAAAAAAAAAAAAAAAAGUUGCCCACAGGCCAUUUAUGGAAGAAACAAAGGCUUUCCAGCUUGUCCAUUGUAAAUUCAAACACAGCAUUGAGCAAAGUGACCACUGUAUGUUUGCUUCAACAUAUUCAUUGUGUUUCAGUAAGAUGUCAACUAUAAAUCUAUAUGAAAAAUAGCUACAAAAUACAGUGUUUUUUGUAUGGUAGUCCUUCAGCAGUUUGUUUUUUU